rnacentral:rRNA from 1 species
GGCGAACGGGUGAGUAACACGUGGGCAACCUGCCCCAGGCUCUGGAAUAACCCCCGGAAACGGGAGCUAAUGCCGGAUACUCUCGGAACCUCGCAUGGGGAUCCGAGGAAAGGGUUACCGGCCUGGGAUGGGCCCGCGGCCUAUCAGCUUGUUGGUGAGGGUAACGGCCCACCAAGGCGACGACGGGUAGCUGGCGUGAGAGCGUGGCCAGCCACACUGGGACUGAGACACGGCCCAGACUCCUACGGGAGGCAGCAGUGGGGAAUCUUGCACAAUGGGCGAAAGCCUGAUGCAGCGACGCCGCGUGGGGGAUGAAGGCCUUCGGGUUGUAAACCCCUUUCGGCAGGGAAGAAGCGAAAGUGACGGUACCUGCAGAAGAAGCCCCGGCCAACUACGUGCCAGCAGCCGCGGUAAGACGUAGGGGGCGAGCGUUGUCCGGAUUUAUUGAGCGUAAAGCGCGCGUAGGCGGCUCGCUAAGUCGGUUGUGAAAACCCGGGGCUCAACCCCGGGCCUGCGUCCGAUACUGGCGGGCUUGAGGCAGGUAGGGGAGAGCGGAAUUCCCGGUGUAGCGGUGAAAUGCGCAGAUAUCGGGAGGAACACCGGUGGCGAAGGCGGCUCUCUGGGCCUGUCCUGACGCUCAGGCGCGAAAGCUAGGGGAGCAAACAGGAUUAGAUACCCUGGUAGUCC